GACGGACCACACAAACGUUAUUCGGAAUUACUGGGCUUAAAGGGUGCGUAGGCUGUGCAGUAAGUUGGGUGUGAAAUCCCUCGGCUCAACCGAGGAAUUGCGCCCAAAACUACUGUGCUCGAGGAAGACAGAGGUAAGCGGAACUUAGGGUGGAGCGGUGAAAUGCGUUGAUAUCCUAAGGAACACCGGUGGCGAAAGCGGCUUACUGGGUCUUUUCUGACGCUGAGGCACGAAAGCUAGGGUAGCGAACGGG
rnacentral:rRNA from 1 species